UACGAAGGGGGCUAGCGUUGCUCGGAAUUACUGGGCGUAAAGGGCGCGUAGGCGGCCUGCUAAGUCAGACGUGAAAUCCCUCAGCUUAACUGGGGAACUGCGUCUGAGACUGGUGAGCGUGAGGUGCAGGAGAGGAACGCGGAAUUCCAGGUGUAGCGGUGAAAUGCGUAGAUAUCUGGAGGAACACCGGUGGCGAAGGCGGCAUCCUGGACCAACACUGACGCUGAGGAGCGAAAGCCAGGGGAGCAAACGGGG
rnacentral:rRNA from 1 species